CUGCCACAGCAUUCUGCAUAAGCGACUUGGCUUUAGAUUUCUUUGCCUUCUCUUCGUUGUUGGAUUUGAUUUGAGCCAAGGUAGGAUUUGCUGGUAGAGCAGCAAGUGGUUUAUCUUC